ACUUUGUUGUACGCGGAUUAAGACGUUCGGAAUAGUGUAUUGAUUUUAAGAUGGUUUUGUGAAAACUGUUACAUAAAUAACUUAAGUGAUAAUGGUAACUUGAACAUCAGACUUGCUGAUGCGCUGUAUCUUCAUAAAAAUGAUAUGAAAAUUGAUUCCGAUCAGUGCAAAACUUUACAAAUUAAAUGGUAUUCUGUAUUCGCGAGCAUAACUUUUAGUGCGUGAGUGUUGUGCAAAAGUGCAGAACAUCCUAACAAAGAGAGCAAUGAAAUGCGGAACCAUCAUCUGCACAAUGAAACAUUUUGCUACCAAAAGUAGCGCUUUCAACAAGAAUGGGCAUUUCUUCACAAUACUCGGAAUUGCAAAGAUAUAACAAAUGAAUGAAAACCGCCAGAAAUUCGGGAAUAAUAUAAUAGCGUUUGAAACAGGAGAGGCGGUCGCCACGCUAUAUAUGCCAGCUAAUUUGAUUUAUUGAAUAAAUUUCAAAUAAUUUUAUUUACGAUUGUUACUGUAGGUAAAUGCAUAUGAAACU